CGGAGGGAUCAUUACUGAGUUACCGCUCUAUAACCCUUUGUGAACAUACCUAACCGUUGCUUCGGCGGGCAGGGGAAGCCUCUCGCGGGCCUCCCCUCCCGGCGCCGGCCCCACCACGGGGACGGGGCGCCCGCCGGAGGAAACCAAACUCUAUUUACACGACGUCUCUUCUGAGUGGCACAAGCAAAUAAUUAAAACUUUUAACAACGGAUCUCUUGGUUCUGGCAUCGAUGAAGAACGCAGCGAAAUGCGAUAAGUAAUGUGAAUUGCAGAAUUCAGUGAAUCAUCGAAUCUUUGAACGCACAUUGCGCUCGCCAGCAUUCUGGCGAGCAUGCCUGUUCGAGCGUCAUUUCAACCCUCAAGCACCGCUUGGUUUUGGGGCCCCACGGCACACGUGGGCCCUUAAAGGUAGUGGCGGACCCUCCCGGAGCCUCCUUUGCGUAGUAACUAACGUCUCGCACUGGGAUCCGGAGGGACUCUUGCCGUAAAACCCCCCAAUUUUUUACAGGUUGACCUCGGAUCAGGUAGGAAUACCCGCUGAACUUAAGCAUAUCAAUAAGCGGAGGAAA
rnacentral:rRNA from 1 species